CUUGGUUGAUCGUGCCAGUGGCAUAUUCUUGUCUCAAAGAUUAAGCAAUGCAAGUCUAAGUAGACACGGCUGGUACAGUGAAACUGCAAAUGGCUCAUUAAAUCAGUUAUGGUUCCUUUGAUUGCUUUACUGUUACUUGGAUAACUAAUGAUUCUAGAGCUUAUACAUGCCAGCGAGCGCUGACCUCCAGGGAUGCAUGCAUUUAUCAAACCCAAAACUCAAAUCUUUUGUGACUCUAGAUAACCUUGAGCCGAUCGCUGGCCCUCGUGGCGGCGACGUCUCAUUCGUAUGUCUGCCCUAUUAACUCUCGAUGGUACUUUCUGUGCCUACCAUGGUGACCAUGGGUAAUGGGGAAUCAGGGAUUGAUUCCGGAGAGGGAGCCUGAGAAACAGCUACCGCAUCUGAGGAAAGCAGCAGAGGCGCAAAUUACUCACUCCUGUCUCGGGGAGGUAGUGACGAAAAAUAACGGUUGGAAUGAGUACACUUUAAAUCCUUUAACGAGGAUCAAUUGGAGGGCAAGUCUGAUGCCAGUAGCCGUGGUAAUUCCAGCUCCAAUAUCGUGUCUUAAAGUUGCUGCAGUUCAAAAGGUGGUAGUUGGAUCACGGGAUCGAGCUGACGGUCUGCCGCGAGGCGAGCUACCGUCUGUCCAAGCCCCUGCCUAUCGGUGCCCCCUCGAUGCUCUUAGCUGAGUGUCCCCCGGGGUCCAAAGCGCUUACUUUGAAAAAAUUUGAGUGUUCAAAGCAGGCCUUCUCGCUUGAAUACCAUAGCUAGGAAUAAUGGAAUAGGACUCCGGUUCUAUUUUGUGGGUUUUAUCCGGGGCCAUGAAUUGGGGCCAUGAUUAAGAUGGGCAGGGGCAUUCGUAUUGUGCCGCUAGAGGUGAAAUUCUUGGAAUGGCACAAGACAGACAAAAGCGAAAGCAUUUGCCAAGAAUGUUUUCAUUAAUCAAGAAUGAAAGUCGGAGGUUCAAGGCGAUCAGAUACCGUCGUAGUUCUGACCAUAAACGGUGCCAACUAGCGAUCCGGCAGCGUUAUUCCCAUGACCCGCUGGGCAGCGUCCGGGAAACCAAAGUCUUUGGGUUCUUGGGGGAGUAUGGUUGCCAAGCUGAACCCUGGAAGAAUAGAUGGAAGGGCACCACCAGGAGUGGAGCCUGCAGCUUAAUUUGUCUCAACACGGGAAACCUCACCCGGUUUGAUAAACUAUUGAUUUGUGGAGACUUUAAUAUUCAUGUUUGUUGUGCAGCAAAUCGAAUGGCAAAAGAGUUUAAAGGUCUUUUGGAUUCGUUUGGCCUCACUCAAUCUGUUAAUGCACCAACACACGAACAUGGGCACAUUCUUGACCUUAUCAUUUCUCAUGAGCUUUCAGUUUCCCUUAGAGAAAUAGUGGACACUGCUAUUUCGGAUCACCUCCCUAUUAUUUUUGAAUUUGCUGCCCCCCCACCUGCCAAUAAGUCCAUUUACCCAGCCCGCAGACGCCGUAUUUUUACUCCAUCAAUGGCUAGAGAGUUUGCUGUCGCCUUUGGGGACUCUCAGCUGCACGCUGACGCUGGACUGGUUCCUCCCCUUUGUCCAGACACCUUGCUCUCCACUUUCCAGUCUACAUGCUCUGAAAU
rnacentral:rRNA from 1 species